UUCUUUUAAAAUCUUCUUUAAAUUCAUUGUUGUCUAAAUAUCCACUUGUAAUUUAUAAGCAUUAGCCUUUAUUUUUUCUUUCAUGAUUUUUCUUUCUUUUGUAGGAUCCUUCAUUAUUUUUAUCUCUCUUUUGUUUUUCUUCUAUUAAUGCUUCAUAUUGACUCCUUGCAACAUAUGCAUAUAUAAAUAGACUAUCAAUUGGACUAUUCUAAUCUAUAGUUUUUCAAAUAGACUUACCUAUAUUAACUAAUAUAUCUUUAGAAACCUUCCAAUUUGCUGCACACUUCAUUGCAUUUGGCCACAAUGAACUUAUAUGAUCUAAUCCUUCAAUGUUUAUGCUCGUAGAAUCUAAUUUUAUGUCUUUGCUUCUAUUGCAUGAACCAUUAAUACUUUCAUAGCUCUAUUGCUAAAUUUUGUCUUUAAUUUUUUUCCACUUUUUUUUAUGUGUAUCAUAUUAUCUUUGAAAAAAAAAACCCUUUAUAUAGCAUCUUUGUAAAAUCCUUACAUUCUCUUCUUGAAUGAUCCAUGCUAUUACACUACAUGUAUUUAUGUACUAUACCUUCUAUUAAUCUUAAUCUUUGUUUUUUUAACACUCUUGAUGAUUGAUCCUUCUCUUUAAAUUUUACAAAUUUUAUUUAUAAAUCUCUCAUCUUUCAUUUAUUUUUAUCAAUGUUUA
rnacentral:lncRNA from 1 species